rnacentral:ncRNA from 1 species
CAAAAGGCGUUGAAGGAGAGAAAGAUGCUGAAAUUAAACUCAAGAGAGCCAGCGUUUGGUGGGAGCUGGUGUUUAGCAGCAUGUAAUAAUCACUCCGGAGCUUCCAGCCGAAAGAUUAGUAGCGAGUAGGUUAGGACGGAUGCCUCCGAUACAGGGCUAUAUGGUUAAGAUUUAAUCAUUAUAUUAAAUCCGACCUGAUUAAAUAAGGCUUUUAUGCGAAUAAGGGUGGUACCGCGGAGAAUAAAUCCUUCGCCCCUGUG